AUGUCAGUAAGAAGGAUGCCGAAGAAGGUUUGCUUGAAGAUUUACAUGCUGGGAAGCCUGUUCGGAUCAAGAACAAGAGCUUUAUCAACUAUUUAUUUACAUGUAGUUUGAACUUUGCUUUAAGCUUCAACUUACCUAUGCAAAUUCACACAGGUUGUGGAGACAAGGACUUGGACUUGAGGCUAUCUAACCCCCUGCACCUUCGCUCUGUUUUAGAGGAUACAAAGUUCUCUAAAUGUAGAGUUGUUCUUUUGCAUGCAUCUUAUCCAUUUUCCAGAGAAGCAUCAUAUCUUGCUUCUGUGUACCCCCAGGUCUGUUCUUUCACGAAUCAAUUUGUCAUAAACUUUAUGUGCUCAAUG